AGACACUAGGUGGAAGCCUUGGGCUGCGGUUCCAUCGCAGCUGCUGACGGCAGGAAGAAGACUUCUGCUUUCAGAAAGGAGAUAUUUUUCUUUUCUUCUUGCUUUCACGUACUAGAAAGGGAAGUCCAAGCUCUCCAGGUGCGCAGUGGGUGAACGGAGGAAUGGAGGAGAAGUGUCAGUCUCAUCCCGGGUCCUCCCUGCAACAGGAUCUUUGCAAUGACUUCAAGAGCUCCGUGGCUGUUCUGCAGACAGAUGCACAAUUGUGAAACAUCAAUAUGGACUGCAAAUCUCUACUGUCAGUUAGCUCCUCUUCCCCUCUGCAUAACAUAAUCCCUAUCUCCACAAUGCCUGCACAGAUACACAUUUGCAAAGAUGUUUUUCUGGAGAUAGUGUGCAUAGCAAACAUUCCCUUACUUGUUCUCAUCUCUAGCAACAUUAUAUGGAGUUUCAGUUCACAGUUCACUGUGUUCCACCUCCUACCACUGAAAUGCAGCCAACUCUGAGCUGUGGCUAUUAAACAUCACACGAGCAACAGCACAAAACAGAUUGUGCAAAGCAAAGGAAUUCAUAGAAAAGCAACAAAUUGAGUGAGGUCUGCAAAGGUUGUCUGGGAAGUGAUAACAAAGGAUCAUAGGGAAUGAAUUAAUUGUGAUGCAGAAUAGCCAUCACCAUGAUGUUCAAGUGAUACCAGUAUGCAAGGGUGAGUUUUUGAGGGUGGCACAAAGAGAUGUUACUAGGAGCAACCAGUUUUCAGCCAGGGAGACAAACAGAUCAGCUUCCCUAACCACUGAGUUUUGUCAGACUGCCAGACUCCCAAGGAAAGGGCUGCAGGCAUCAUUGCUUGAGGGUUUUAAAACUGGUCCUAGUCUCAAGACAGGACAAGGCACUAUCAGGACAGAUGAAUAAAACAAGAUGGAGCAA